AUUGAACGCUGGCGGCAUGCCUAACACAUGCAAGUCGAGCGAGCGGCGGACGGGUGAGUAAUGUAUGGGGACUGCCCGAUAGAGGGGGAUAACUACUGGAAACGGUGGCUAAUACCGCAUACUACCCGAUGACCCAGAUGGGAUUAGCUAGUAGGUGGGGUAAAGGCGCAUCUAGGCGACGAUCUCUAGCUGGUCUGAGAGGAUUAUCGGCCACACUGGGACUGAGACACGGCCCAGACUCCUACGGAGGCAGCAGUGGGGAAUAUUGCACAAUGGACGCAAGCCUGAUGGAGCCACGCCGCGUGUAUGAAGAAGGCUUUCGGAUUGUAAAGUACUUUCAGUGGGGAAGCGUUACCCGACGAAGAAGCCACGGCUAACUCCGUGCCAGCAGCCGCGGUAAUUC
rnacentral:rRNA from 1 species